CUCUUACUGGAGGCAGCAGUGAGGAAUAUUGGACAAUGGGGGCAACCCUGAUCCAGCAAUGCCAUGUGUGUGAAGAAGGCCUUAGGGUUGUAAAGCACUUUAGUUGGGGAAGAAAGCUUUGAGGUUAAUAGCCUUGAAGAAAAGGACGUUACCCAAAGAAAAAGCACCGGCUAACUCCGUGCCAGCAGCCGCGGUAAUAGGGGGGGUGCAAGCGUUAAUCGGAAUUACUGGGCGUAAAGGGUCUGUAGGUGGUUUGUUAAGUCAGAUGUGAAAGCCUAGGGCUCAACCUUGGAACUGCAUUUGAUACUGGUAAACUAGAGUACGGUAGAGGAAUAGGGAAUUUCUGGUGUAGCGGUGAAAUGCGUAGAGAUCAGAAGGAACACCAAUGGCGAAGGCAACAUUCUGGACCGAUACUGACACUGAGGGACGAAAGCGUGGGGAUCAAACAGGAUUAGAUACCCUGGUAGUCCACGCUGUAAACGAUGAGUACUAGCUGUUGGAGUCGGUGUAAAGGCUCUAGUGGCGCAGCUAACGCGAUAAGUACUCCGCCUGGGGAUUACGGCCGCAAGGCUAAAACUCAAAGGAAUUGACGGGGACCC
rnacentral:rRNA from 1 species